CCCUUAGAUGGUCUGGGCGGCACGCGCACUACAAUGAUGCAUUCGAAAAGUCUUCUGACCUUAGAUGGUUGGGUACUCUCCGAAGGGCAUCGUGAUGGAAUAGUUUAUUGCAACUUUUAAAUCUUGAGCGAGGAAUUCCUCGUAGGUGCAGGUCAUCAACUUGUGUUGGUUAAGUCCCUGCCCUUUGUACACACCGCCCGCCGCUCCAACUGUUUGAGUGUAUCGGUGAAUUCUUUGAUCUUCUGUCGAUUCAGUUAACUGAUCCGACAGUGGACAGUUGAAUGAACUUCGCCACUUCGAGGGAGGAGAAGUCGUAACA
rnacentral:rRNA from 1 species